rnacentral:rRNA from 1 species
UACGUAGGGUGCAAGCGUUACUCGGAAUUACUGGGCGUAAAGCGUGCGCAGGCGGUGAUGUAAGGCAGUUGUGAAAUCCCCGGGCUCAACCUGGGAACUGCAUCUGUGACUGCAUCGCUGGAGUGCGGCAGAGGGGGAUGGAAUUCCGCGUGUAGCAGUGAAAUGCGUAGAUAUGCGGAGGAACACCGAUGGCGAAGGCAAUCCCCUGGGCCUGCACUGACGCUCAUGCACGAAAGCGUGGGGAGCAAACAGG